rnacentral:rRNA from 1 species
GGUGAGCCAAGCUUGCUUGGUGGAUCAGUGGCGAACGGGUGAGUAACACGUGAGCAACCUGCCCUGGACUCUGGGAUAAGCGCUGGAAACGGCGUCUAAUACUGGAUAUGAGCCCCUAUCGCAUGGUGGGGGUUGGAAAGAUUUUUUGGUCUGGGAUGGGCUCGCGGCCUAUCAGCUUGUUGGUGAGGUAAUGGCUCACCAAGGCGUCGACGGGUAGCCGGCCUGAGAGGGUGACCGGCCACACUGGGACUGAGACACGGCCCAGACUCCUACGGGAGGCAGCAGUGGGGAAUAUUGCACAAUGGGCGGAAGCCUGAUGCAGCAACGCCGCGUGAGGGAUGACGGCCUUCGGGUUGUAAACCUCUUUUAGCAGGGAAGAAGCGAGAGUGACGGUACCUGCAGAAAAAGCGCCGGCUAACUACGUGCCAGCAGCCGCGGUAAUACGUAGGGCGCAAGCGUUAUCCGGAAUUAUUGGGCGUAAAGAGCUCGUAGGCGGUUUGUCGCGUCUGCUGUGAAAUCCCGAGGCUCAACCUCGGGCCUGCAGUGGGUACGGGCAGACUAGAGUGCGGUAGGGGAGAUUGGAAUUCCUGGUGUAGCGGUGGAAUGCGCAGAUAUCAGGAGGAACACCGAUGGCGAAGGCAGAUCUCUGGGCCGUAACUGACGCUGAGGAGCGAAAGGGUGGGGAGCAAACAGGCUUAGAUACCCUGGUUAGUCCACCCCGUAAACGUUGGGAACUAGUUGUGGGGACCAUUCCACGGUUUCCGUGACGCAGCUAACGCAUUAAGUUCCCCGCCUGGGGAGUACGGCCGCAAGGCUAAAACUCAAAGGAAUUGACGGGGACCCGCACAAGCGGCGGAGCAUGCGGAUUAAUUCGAUGCAACGCGAAGAACCUUACCAAGGCUUGACAUACACCAGAACACCGUAGAAAUACGGGACUCUUUGGACACUGGUGAACAGGUGGUGCAUGGUUGUCGUCAGCUCGUGUCGUGAGAUGUUGGGUUAAGUCCCGCAACGAGCGCAACCCUCGUUCUAUGUUGCCAGCACGUAAUGGUGGGAACUCAUGGGAUACUGCCGGGGUCAACUCGGAGGAAGGUGGGGAUGACGUCAAAUCAUCAUGCCCCUUAUGUCUUGGGCUUCACGCAUGCUACAAUGGCCGGUACAAAGGGCUGCAAUACCGUGAGGUGGAGCGAAUCCCAAAAAGCCGGUCCCAGUUCGGAUUGAGGUCUGCAACUCGACCUCAUGAAGUCGGAGUCGCUAGUAAUCGCAGAUCAGCAACGCUGCGGUGAAUACGUUCCCGGGUCUUGUACACACCGCCCGUCAAGUCAUGAAAGUCGGUAACACCUGAAGCCGGUGGCCUAACCCUUGUGGAGGAGC